CGCCUUUGAAGAUCACCUUGUCAGCCAUCACCUGUCAAUACAUGAAAUACUUAAUCUACUAAAUGCGUGCAAGAUCUAAACUUCAGGGUCAACAUUUGGUUAUCAAAGAAAAAUGCCCGAAGGUACCUUAUUCCAGCCUUCGAGGUUAUCUUGAUUUCUGGGAAAGCCAUCGAUGAGAAAGCGAUUAUGCGGAUUAUCUGAAAUCUGCAUAGCGCGAUCGAUGAGAUUGCAGGUGAUCUCGACGGGGACAAUAGUGCCAUUCUUGAUAUGCGUCUCGAUGAGUUCGCCGUAUUGCGAGCCGGGCUUAGCACGUUCCUCGCGCAGUAGAUCACCUGCUGACAGAUGAACAUAACCGUAACGA